CGGGUAACCUCGACCCAAUAGAUCGGGAUAACACCUGGAAACAGAUGCUAAUACCGGAUAACAACAGAUGAUGCCUAUCAACUGUUUAAAAGAUGGUUCUGCUAUCACUCUUGGAUGGACCUGCGGUGCAUUAGCUAGUUGGUAGGGUAACGGCCUACCAAGGCGAUGAUGCAUAGCCGAGUUGAGAGACUGAUCGGCCACAUUGGGACUGAGACACGGCCCAAACUCCUACGGGAGGCAGCAGGU
rnacentral:rRNA from 1 species